rnacentral:rRNA from 1 species
CCUACGGGAGGCAGCAGUGGGGAAUUUUGGACAAUGGGCGAAAGCCUGAUCCGGCAAUGCCGCGUGCAGGAAGAAGGCCUUCGGGUUGUAAACUGCUUUUGUACGGAACGAAACGGUUCGCUUUAAUACAGUGGGCUAAUGACGGUACCGUAAGAAUAAGCACCGGCUAACUACGUGCCAGCAGCCGCGGUAAUACGUAGGGUGCGAGCGUUAAUCGGAAUUACUGGGCGUAAAGCGUGCGCAGGCGGUUAUAUAAGACAGUUGUGAAAUCCCCGGGCUCAACCUGGGAAUUGCAUCUGUGACUGUAUAGCUAGAGUACGGUAGAGGGGGAUGGAAUUCCGCGUGUAGCAGUGAAAUGCGUAGAUAUGCGGAGGAACACCGAUGGCGAAGGCAAUCCCCUGGACCUGUACUGACGCUCAUGCACGAAAGCGUGGGGAGCAAACAGGAUUAGAUACCCUGGUAGUCCACGCCCUAAACGAUGUCAACUGGUUGUUGGGUGCNUAGUACUCAGUACGAAGACACGCGUGAGUAGACGCCGNGGAGGACGGCGCGAAGGUAGUAACGUUACAAUAGAGUUAGAGGCGNGAGAGNGCGACGGACGACGACGAGGGAGGAGG